rnacentral:rRNA from 1 species
CCUACNGGCCGCACCAGUGGGGAAUAUUGGACGAUGGCGAAAGCCUGAUCCAGCAAUGCCGCGUGUGCGAAGAAGGUCUUCGGAUUGUAAAGCACUUUCGACGGGGACNAUGAUGACGGUANCCGUAGAAGAAGCCCCGGCUAACUUCGUGCCAGCAGCCGCGGUAAUACGAAGGGGGCUAGCGUUGCUCGGAAUGACUGGGCGUAAAGGGCGCGUAGGCGGUUUAUGCAGUCAGAUGUGAAAUCCCCGGGCUUAACCUGGGAACUGCAUUUGAGACGCAUAGACUAGAGGUCGAGAGAGGGUUGUGGAAUUCCCAGUGUAGAGGUGAAAUUCGUAGAUAUUGGGAAGAACACCGGUGGCGAAGGCGGCAACCUGGCUCGAUACUGACGCUGAGGCGCGAAAGCGUGGGGGGCAAACAGGAUUAGAUACCCUCGUAGUC